rnacentral:rRNA from 1 species
CCCAGUUCGGAUCGCAGGCUGCAACCCGCCUGCGUGAAGUCGGAAUCGCUAGUAAUCGCGGAUCAGCAUGCCGCGGUGAAUACGUUCCCGGGCCUUGUACACACCGCCCGUCACACCAUGAGAGUCGGGAACACCCGAAGUCCGUAGUCUAACCGCAAGGGGGACGCGGCCGAAGGUGGGUUCGAUAAUUGGGGUGAAGUCGUAACAAGGUAGC